GGCCACUGGGGUACUUGCUGAAAAUGAGCUGGAUAGCAGAGAGUGGUUUCGACCGAUCGUACACGUGGUUAAAGUAGACAUCGCGCUUCCGCUUCGCUUCUGUAAUCAGCAUGACCUGUACAAACUGACAGAAGCAGUCAAAAAAUAAUCACGGAGGGCACUGAGACAUGCCCAUGAAAUUUUGGUUUAAUAUUUCUGUUUGCACUUCAUUGCUAAAGCAAACUGAAUAGCAGAGGAUGGUUUCGAUCCAUAAAUCACUGGGUUAACUGCCAGGCACACUUCCACUUCAUCACUCCACUUUCAGGUACCCCAAAACAACACUUGAAUUCACAAUACAUGGAUUAGGAGAUCAGUGUCUUAAGCCACUGUGUCUCUCUGUGAUCAGCAUGACCUAUAUGGAUUGAUAGAAGCAGUAAUAAAAAAAGAAUCACGGAGUGCACAGAGACAUGCACAUGAAAUUCUCCAA